AUUGAACGCUGGCGGCAGGCCUAACACAGGUAAGUCGAACGGCAGCACAGAAGAGCUUGCUCCUUGGGUGGCGAGUGGCGGACGGGUGAGUAAUGUCUGGGAAACUGCCCGAUGGAGGGGGAUAACUACUGGAAACGGUAGCUAAUACCGCAUAACGUCGCGAGACCAAAGUGGGGGACCUUCGGGCCUCACACCAUCGGAUGUGCCCAGAUGGGAUUAGCUAGUAGGUGGGGUAAUGGCUCACCUAGGCGACGAUCCCUAGCUGGUCUGAGAGGAUGACCAGCCACGCUGGAACUGAGACACGGUCCAGACUCCUACGGGAGGCAGCAGUGGGGAAUAUUGCACAAUGGGCGCAAGCCUGAUGCAGCCAUGCCGCGUGUAUGAAGAAGGCCUUCGGGUUGUAAAGUACUUUCAGCGGGGAGGAAGGCGGUGAGGUUAAUAACCUCGCCGAUUGACGUUACCCGCGGAAGAAGCACCGGCUAACUCCGUGCCAGCAGCCGCGGUAA
rnacentral:rRNA from 1 species